AGGUAUGGUUUGCACCAAUUCAAGAGACUGUGCAUUAGGCAUUCAAUAUAUAAGACUGGAGUGAGACUGAUUAGGCAUUUAAAUGUAUUGCAGGAUGUUGUUUGAAUUACUUGUCCUAAUAGGUGCACAAGUUGGGAUGGAUUGGACUUCUAUCUUGAGAAAACGCCAUGAUUUCAGGGCUGCUUUCGUCAGGUUUGAUGCAGAAAUCGUUGCCAACUUCACAGAAAGACAAAUAGCAUCAAUGGCCACAGAUUGCAACUUGGAUUUAAACAAGGUUCGAGGUACCGUCAACAAUACUAACAAAAUCCUCCAGGUCAGAUUGUUGAUUGGACCUGAUUUUAUUUAAAUGAUCUUGAUAAUCCAUUUUAUUUAAAUGAGCAGACCCGGAUGUGCGUCGGAGCUAUCCGGAUGUUGAGCGGGGGUCCCUAGAAGGUGGGAACCGCUGUUAUGACCA